GCGGCGUGCCUAAUACAUGCAAGUCGAGCGGAUCUUUCCUUCGGGGAAGAUUAGCGGCGGACGGGUGAGUAACACGUGGGCAACCUGCCUGUAAGUUUGGGAUAACUGUCGGAGACGGCAGCUAAGACCGAAUAGGUGAUACCCUCGCAUGAGGGUAUCAUGAAAAGCGGAGCAAUCUGCUGCUUAUGGAUGGGCCUGCGGCGCAUUAGCUAGUUGGUGAGGUAAGAGCUCACCAAGGCGACGAUGCGUAGCCGACCUGAGAGGGUGACCGGCCACACUGGGACUGAGACACGGCCCAGACUCCUACGGGAGGCAGCAUAGGGAAUCUUCCGCAAUGGACGCAAGUCUGACGGAGCAACGCCGCGUGAGUGAGGAAGGUCUUCGGAUCGUAAAGCUCUGUUGCCAAGGAAGAACGCCUAGGAGAGUAACUGCUCUUAGGUGACGGUACUUGAGAAGAAAGCCCCGCUAACUACGUGCCAGCAGCCGCGGUAAUACGUAGGGGGCAAGCGUUGUCCCGAAUUAUUGGGGCGUAAAAGCGCGCGCAAGC
rnacentral:rRNA from 1 species